rnacentral:tRNA from 1 species
AAAAAGAUAAGCUAAACAAAGCUUUUAGGUUCAUACCCUAAAUAUAGAAAUUUAAAAUUCUUCUUUUUA